ACAAACAAACAAAAACAACAGCAGUGUCUCAAUAUAGACAACAUAACACUCCCAUGAAGCAAAACAUUUAUUAAAAAACACAACAAGAAAUGCCUGGCGCAGAUUAAAAAACAUUUCAAUCCUAGUUGGUGGCCUAGUUCAUCAAACGAGAGUUGUACUUCCACAGAAAAAGCAACAUGUUUAAGAUCUGAAAUGUCCAUCAGCAUCUAAAUCUUUCGCAAAAGGUCUAGAGUUUACAUAUACAGAGAGAAAAAUUAAUAUUCAAUAAGAAAUAUGCCCACAUACACAUGAGUCAUGACCAAAUGGAUUUGUGAAGGCAUAGUAUAUGUGUAGAAGAUAUUUAAGCCAAUUAAGCAGCAUUUGCACAACAUGACAGAAAACACAACAGCUGGGAAAUGAUCAGAAAACCAUCGCAAGAUCUGAUCGGCCAACAUCAUAUUUUCAGACACCCUUUUCCUCCGGCGCAGAGGUAGCAGUGAGCUUGCAGCGGUGGUGGUCUCUCCUGGGCCCCCGUGGGCACGUGUCUACAGGACUCCUCAAUUACAGAGGUGAAAUCUGAGGUCAGCCUCU